rnacentral:rRNA from 1 species
GCCUUAGUAACGGCGAGUGAAGCGGCAACAGCUCAAAUUUGAAAGCUGGCUCCUUUGGAGUCCGCGUUGUAAUUUGUAGAGGAUGAUUCGGCAAGGGCUCCCGCCUAAGUCUCCUGGAACGGAGCGUCAUAGAGGGUGAGAAUCCCGUAUGCGGUGGGCUGCCUAAGCCAUGUGAAUCUCCUUCGACGAGUCGAGUUGUUUGGGAAUGCAGCUCUAAAUGGGAGGUAAAUUUCUUCUAAAGCUAAAUACCGGCCAGAGACCGAUAGCGCACAAGUAGAGUGAUCGAAAGAUGAAAAGCACUUUGGAAAGAGAGUUAAAAAGUACGUGAAAUUGUUGAAAGGGAAGCGCUUGCAGCCAGACUUGUCCGCAGUUGCUCAGCCGGUCUCCUGACCGGUGUACUCUUCUGCGGCCAGGCCAGCAUCAGUUCGGGCGGUCGGAUAAAGACCUCGGGAAUGUAGCUCCUCUCGGGGAGUGUUAUAGCCCGGGGUGGAAUGCGGCCAGCCUGGACUGAGGAUCUCGCUUCGGCUAGGAUGCUGGCGUAAUGGCUGUAAGCGGCCCGUCUUGAAACACGGACCAAGGAGUCUAACAUCUAUGCGAGUGUUUGGGUGUCAAACCCAUGCGCGUAAUGAAAGUGAACGGAGGUGGGAACCCUCACGGGUGCACCAUCGACCGAUCCUGAUGUCUUCGGAUGGAUUUGAGUAAGAGCAUAGCUGUUGGGACCCGAAAGAUGGUGAACUAUGCCUGAAUAGGGUGAAGCCAGAGGAAACUCUGGUGGAGGCUCGCAGCGGUUCUGACGUGCAAAUCGAUCGUCAAAUUUGGGUAUAGGGGCGAAAGACUAAUCGAACCCAUCUAGUAGCUGG